rnacentral:rRNA from 1 species
GAUGAACGCUGGCGGCGUGCUUAACACAUGCAAGUCGAACGGAAAGGCCCUGCUUUUGUUGGGUGCUCGAGUGGCGAACGGGUGAGUAACACGUGAGUAACCUGCCCUUGACUUUGGGAUAACUUUAGGAAACUGGGGCUAAUACCGGAUAUGAGCUCCUGCUGCAUGGGGGGGUUGGGAACGUUUCGGCGGUUGGGGAUGGACUCGCGGCUUAUCAGCUUGUUGGUGGGGUAGUGGCUUACCAAGGUUUUGACGGGUAGCCGGCCUGAGAGGGUGACGGGCCACAUUGGGACUGAGAUACGGCCCAGACUCCUACGGGAGGCAGCAGUGGGGAAUAUUGCACAAUGGGCGGAAGCCUGAUGCAGCAACGCCGCGUGCGGGAUGACGGCCUUCGGGUUGUAAACCGCUUUCGCCUGUGACGAAGCGUGAGUGACGGUAAUGGGUAAAGAAGCACCGGCUAACUACGUG